rnacentral:rRNA from 1 species
CAGCAGCCGCGGUAAUACGAAGGGGGCUAGCGUUGCUCGGAAUUACUGGGCGUAAAGGGCGCGUAGGCGGAUGUUUAAGUCGGGGGUGAAAGCCCAGGGCUCAACCCUGGAAUUGCCUUCGAUACUGGACAUCUUGAGUACGGGAGAGGUGAGUGGAACUCCGAGUGUAGAGGUGAAAUUCGUAGAUAUUCGGAAGAACACCAGUGGCGAAGGCGACUCACUGGCCCGUUACUGACGCUGAGGCGCGAAAGCGUGGGGAGCAAACAGG